rnacentral:sRNA from 1 species
ACUGUGAACAGCCACCCAGGCGCGCUCUGCCUGAGAGUCUCAGGGGCUGUGCUAGAGGCGCCUCUGGCCGUGGUCCUCUCAUGGCUGGGCUUCCUAGCCCCCACGCUGGUGGGUGGGGUUCGGGUGCGCUUGAGCUGGAGAGCAGAGGGCCUCUGCAUGUUGGGGUGAGCCCACCAACAAGACAGGAGUAGCCUUCUGUAGACUCAGAAGUGCCUCCCCACUCUCCUGUCGGAAGCGAGUUGCAGGUCCCACCUGCUCCUGGGGGUGGGGGGCACAGCUGACUUCAGGAGCCCAGCUUGAGCCACCUCUCAGCGACCUUGGUGAGGGGCGGCUCACCUGUGGAGGGCUCGCCUGUGAAGGGACAUCCCCAGACUUGGGAGCGGGUGGCAGCCAGGGUUAGGGCAUUAGGGCUUGGAUAAAGGUUAGGGUUAGGGUUAGGAUUAGAGUUACAGUCACGGUGAUGGUCAGGGCAUAUGGGCUAGGGUUAGGGCGUUGGGGUCAGGACCAUGGGUUCUGGCUAGCACUGUGGAGACGGCCGUUUCUAUCACGCAGGAAUUGAGGAUUCCGCCAUUCCAACCCCAGAUUCGAGGGAGGCAGGGGUGUGGACGGUACCAUGCCUCAAUCCUCACAGCCUCUGUCUCCCACUGCCCAGGCUGGCCAAGAAGUCCUGGUUUGGGAACUUCAUCAGCCUGGAGAAGGAGGAGCAGAUCUUCGUGGUCAUCAAAGACAAACCUCUGAGCUCCAUCAAGGCUGACAUCGUGCACGCCUUCCUGUCGAUUCCCAGCCUCAGCCACAGCGUCAUCUCCCAAACGAGCUUCCGGGCCGAGUACAAGGCCACGGGGGGACCAGCCGUGUUCCAGAAGCCGGUCAAGUUCCAGGUUGAUAUCACCUACACGGAGGGUGGGGAGGCGCAGAAGGAGAACGGCAUCUACUCCGUCACCUUCACCCUGCUCUCAGGUGAGCUGGCGCCCCCAGGGUGGCUCCGGGCCCAGGCCCGUCCAGGGCAUAACCCCCUGUCUCCCCUAGGCCCCAGCCGCCGCUUCAAGAGGGUGGUGGAGACCAUCCAGGCCCAGCUGCUGAGCACACACGACCUGCCCGCGGCCCAGCACUUGUCAGAACCCCCCCCACCAGCGCCAGGACUAAGCUGGGGUGCUGGGCUUAAGGGCCAGAAGGUGGCCACCAGCUACGAGAGUAGCCUCUGACGCUGGCAGACACCACUAACUGUAUGGAAAUGAUGACGGGGCGGCUUUCCAAAUGUGGAAUUAUCCCGAAAAGUUAACAUGUCACCUCCACGAGGCCAUCCUCUGUGACCGAAGGCAGCUGCUGCGGACCCGCCCUCCCUCCGCUCCUGCUGUUGCUGCCGGGCAGUGAGGCCCAGCCCAGCGCCCCGUCCACCCCGCGGCAGCUCCUCGCCUCAGCUCCGCACGGCCCGUGGGAGGAGGGCCAGGCUCCCGGUCACCUGACCCCUCGGCAAGAUCAGCCUGCCUGGCGGCCUUCUGGGGCCGGGACCCCCGGUGGGCAAAGUAGCCACAGAAACAGACCCCGUCCACCGCCUCCACGCCGCACCUGGAGGCCUCCUCGCUGGCCCGUGCCCCGCCUCCCUGGCAGCGCCGCCUCCGUGUAGUCUUGGCCUCCUCAGGCUGCCUCCCGUCCUCUCAUCUCACCCGCGCCUCCCUUGCCUCAUCUGGGGCGGCUGUGGGCUCUGGCGCUCCUCUCUGGCUGAGGUGGAAACAGAGAGACCCUGGGGUACCAGAGCCUUCCCGGCAGGCCAGGCCGCUGGGCUGGGAUCAGUGUUAUUUAUUUGCUGUUUUAAUUUAUGGAUUCUCUGCAUCUCUGUUCAGGGAAGGGCGGCGGCCACAUCCCCUGCCGUCUGCGCGUCUCAGGCAGUGGGGGGGCUGGGGCCAGGGCGCCCUCUGAGGACAGAGCUGGUGGGGCGCGGGGGGGGCUGGCGAGCUACUGUAAACUUUAAAGAAUUCCUGCAAGAUAUUUUUAUAAA